rnacentral:rRNA from 1 species
AGUGAACGCUGGCGGCGUGCCUAAUACAUGCAAGUCGAACGGAGUGGCGCACGGGUGAGUAAUAUAUAGCUAAUCUGCCCCUUGCUGGAGGACAACAGUUAGAAAUGACUGCUAAUACCCCAUAGCAAGGGAUGAGACUAUAUCGUAUCAGCUAGUCGGUGGGGUAACGGCCUACCGAGGCUAUGACGCGUAACUGGUAUGUGAGGAUGAUCAGUCACAUUUGAAGUGAGGCACGGUCCAGACACCUACGGGAAGGGGCAGUAGGCAAUAUGACGCAAUGGGAGUGACCCUGACGCAGCAUCGCCGCGUGGAGGAUGACACUUUUCGGAGCGUAAACUCCUUUUGUUAGGGGAGCGGUACCUAACGAAUAAGCACCGGCUAACUCCGUGCCAGCAGCCGCGGUAAUUC